GUUUGCCUUUCAAGCAUAUUACAAAGCUCAGCUUUUAGGCUGUACUCGCACAUACACUGCUCAAAGUGGCUCAAUAUCUUCACACGAUACAACCCAAAACGAAACUGAUCUAAACUUUCAAUAUUGUUCAUGGCUGAUUACUGUAGCAAAAACAUUUGUCAUCUCAUUGAAAUUUUGAUAUUAAAUAUCCCACAAUGC